rnacentral:rRNA from 1 species
GACGAACGCUGGCGGCGUGCUUAACACAUGCAAGUCGAACGAUGAGGGAGAGCUUGCUCUCCGGAUUAGUGGCGAACGGGUGAGUAACACGUGACUAACCUGCCCCUUUCUCUGGGAUAACGCUCCGAAAGGAGUGCUAAUACCGGAUACGAACUCUGAACACAUGUUCGGAGUUGGAAAGUUUUUCGGAAAGGGAUGGAGUCGCGGCCUAUCAGCUUGUUGGUGAGGUAACGGCUCACCAAGGCGACGACGGGUAGCCGGCCUGAGAGGGCGACCGGCCACACUGGGACUGAGACACGGCCCAGACUCCUACGGGAGGCAGCAGUGGGGAAUAUUGCACAAUGGGCGAAAGCCUGAUGCAGCGACGCCGCGUGAGGGAUGAAGGUCUUCGGAUUGUAAACCUCUUUCAGUAGGGACGAAGCGAAAGUGACGGUACCUAAAGAAGAAGCACCGGCUAACUACGUGCCAGCCGCCGCUGUAA